rnacentral:ncRNA from 1 species
CUUCAUCGCAUGAUGAAGCUAAGAUGGAAACAGGUGAGAAGCCUGUACGGUCCCGCCACUGUAAGGGAGGAGCGGUUGUUCAGAGAGUCACUGAGGCGCGUAUUUGCAAGAUGCUUUGGGAAGACGAGGAACCGCAAGGAUACCCGAGUCAGGAGACAUGCAUA